UGAAGUUGGUGUCAGGAGGAAUGGAGGAAGAAACAGUUUCAGGACAAAAAAGAGGAUUGAAUGGCCCAGCAGGAAAUAAUAAAAAGAGAUGCCCAAAAGAGUGCGAUACCCACCGAAGAAGAGGAGCUUUUAUGACCCAGACCCUGACUCACCCAGAGAUGACCAAGCUUACACCAUGCGCUGCAGUACGCUGGAUGAUUGGACACCGAUCGAAAAAAGCCUUGAUCAACAAAUGUCGCAUGAGGGGUACAACAUAAAUUCUAGAUGUACUUAAAGACAUUUGUUGCAGUGUUCAAAGCCCUAAUACUGCUGGGCUUAGAGACUUAAUUUUUGUUUGCUGUCUAAAAACUGUGUUGAACUUUGUUGUUAAUAUUAUGGCUGUUGAUGUU